rnacentral:lncRNA from 1 species
AAAAAAUCUAACUUGCUGCUAACACCACCCAUACCACUGGAAAAGACUCACGGUAGCUUACAAAGGCUUCACUCGAAAUCUGGUCGACAAGCACCAUCAGUGGCUGUCCUGGACUGACAGAUACAUUUCAUUCAGUUUUAAGAAAUGCUUCCCAAGUCAUCCAGUUGGUACGACGUUCAUUCUGCCUGGCAAAAGUGGUCUCAUGACACAAAGCAGACAAAGCCAAGUAAGAGAAGGAACAGUGAUGCCAGGGGCUUAGCAAAUCAUCCCCCUGUCCUCUGGAAUACAGCGGGAUGGCUCUAAGCACACUUUGCACACAGAGCAUAGGACAUUCAGGAAGAUGUGUACUUAAUCACUGAAUUAUGGUUAAUAAUGAUUCUGCUUCUUGUAUUAGUCAUCUGUGAUUGUGUUGCAGAUCGUGAGACACUUGAGACUUAUUUUUGCAGAAAGGCAUUAAUCUCCUUGGUUCAGUUAAGAAGCAGAGUCUUCUAUAGAGUCAGAGCCUCAGAGAGCUGCCAACGAGGCAGGGGCAUGGCAUCUCAUCUGAACUUAAUUAUAGGAUUGCAUUUCUUCUCUCUGUGGUCACACAAACACUCAAGAUGAUUGGACGUUCUACAGAACAUAUACAUCGGCAGUGAGCUGUCUGAGGGGUCGGUUGAAAUUUUGCCUACCCCCUUUCUUCCUUGUUCAUUUCCCUCAACCUCCGUCCCUUCCUCCUCCUUCUCCCCCUCCCUUGUGUAAGAGCACAGGUGUGGUUCUGAGACCUUACAUCUGCUGUGCCACUGAACCACACUCUCAGUUCCAUGAAGAACACUCACGUGUCAUGAACAACUUUGACUAAUCCAAAUGUUUGCUGCUGAGAUUUUUUCUUUUGGCCACUGAAAUGUGUGGUUUUUCUAUAGGUUGGUCAGACAAGGUUCUCGAAGAUAUCUUGGGAGGCGGGGGAUACAAACCUGACAAGAAUAAAGAGAGAGGGGACCACAUCACCACUACUACAACAAGAAGGCCAGGAACAACUAGAGCAUUGUCAAAUCCUAUGGAACUUGAUGGGUUUGAAUUGGAAGAUGCCUUGGAUGAUCGGAACGAUCUAGAUGGCCCCAAAAAGAAAAGUACAGGAGAGGGAGGAGGUAAGUUCUAGAUGCUCAACAUCACAGGCCAGUGCUAUAGUUCCUGGUAUGGUUUGUCUUAUACCUGCAAUGGCAUUCUGAGACGUCCAGAGUACUGUAGAUCUGGGCCAGAUCUGGGCCACGUUUAGCUGUAGGAGAACCCCACAACAGUAGUACUGAUAUAUUUUGGUCUUAGGAUUCUCCGAAUUAUUGGGAAUCUCAAUAACUAUUGUCUGUGUGUGUCAUAUCUAUCUCUGUUUAUCAUCUAUAUAUUUAAUUUUUUAAAAAAUCAGUAUUGUUCAUAUAAAAUG